GAAUUUGAUCCCUCUCUCUCUCCCUAGUUUUGUCUCUAUUAUUAUUUUCCUCUGUUUCCAUUUUUUGAUAAGGUUCAUCAGUUCCUCUAGAGUGAUUUUGAUCAUUUAGCAAAAAUAUGAGCGAACCAAAGUAUGCUUAUCCUUACCCUGCACCGGGAAGUUACCCGCAAGGCCCGCCUCCUCCUGUGGGAGCACCGCCGCAGUAUUAUCCUCCACCACCACCACCUCCACCGCCAAGAAAGAAAGCUGGUUUUCUUGAAGGAUUUCUUGCGGCCAUGUGUUGUUGCUGCUUUGUGGAUGAAUGCUGCUGCGACCCGACCAUUAUAUGCUUUGAUUAAACUUUUUAAAAAUAUAUUAAAUCUCUCUCUAUGUAUUUUUUUUUUUUUGUUUAUGAUGGGAGUUUAUGUAAUAAGUGUUGUAUGAGUAGUAUGAUUACUUAUCCCCUACUUACAAGCUGUGUGUUCUUUGGCAAAAUAUAAAUACACGUCGUUAAAACUCCA